GACGAACGCUGGCGGCGUGCUUAACACAUGCAAGUCGAACGGAAAGGCCCUGCUUUUGUGGGGUGCUCGAGUGGCGAACGGGUGAGUAACACGUGAGUAACCUGCCCUUGACUUUGGGAUAACUUCAGGAAACUGGGGCUAUUACCGGAUAGGAGCUCCUGCGGCAUGGUGGGGGUUGGAAAGUUUCGGCGGUUGGGGAUGGACUCGCGGCUUAUCAGCUUGUUGGUGGGGUAGUGGCUUACCAAGGCUUUGACGGGUAGCCGGCCUGAGAGGGUGACCGGCCACAUUGGGACUGAGAUACGGCCCAGACUCCUACGGGAGGCAGCAGUGGGGAAUAUUGCACAAUGGGCGGAAGCCUGAUGCAGCAACGCCGCGUGCGGGAUGACGGCCUUCGGGCUGUAAACCGCUUUCGCCUGUGACGAAGCGUGAGUGACGGUAAUGGGUAAAGAAGCACCGGCUAACUACGUG
rnacentral:rRNA from 1 species